rnacentral:rRNA from 1 species
CGCGAAACUUGCCUCAAGAUGAGUCUUCCCUGGGCCUUCAAGGCCCCUGAAGGAACGUUUAAGACUAAGACGUUGAUAGGCUGGGUGUGUAAGUGCAGCGAUGCAUUGAGCUAACCAGUACUAAUGAUCCGUGAGGCUUAACCUU